CCUACGGGAGGCAGCAGUGAGGAAUAUUGGUCAAUGGGCGGAAGCCUGAACCAGCCAAGUAGCGUGCGGGAUGAAGGCCCUACGGGUCGUAAAUCGCUUUUGCACGGGGAUAACACCCUCCACUUGUGGAGGUCUGCAGGUACCGUGCGUAUAAGGGCCGGCAAAUUCCGGUCCAGCAGCCGCGGUAAGACGGAGGGCCCGAGCUUUAUCCGGUUUCCAUGGGCUGAAAGGGAGCGUAGGCGGGCGUUCAAGUCAGCAGUAAAAUCACGGGGCGCAACCGCGCCCCGCAGUUGAAACUGGAAGCCUUGAGUUCGAAACAGGCAGGCGGAAUUCGUGGUGUAGCGGUGAAAUGCGUAGAUAUCACGAGGAACCCCGAAUGCGAAGGCAGCCUGCCGGGGUGCGACUGACGCUGAGGCUCGAAGGUGCGGGUAUCAAACAGGAUUAGAUACCCGAGUAGUC
rnacentral:rRNA from 1 species